rnacentral:ncRNA from 2 species
AAGAGCCGUAUGAGGGGAGACUCUCACGUACGGUUCUGUGGGAGCGCAGGGGGGAGGUUCCCCUGCGCCACCCGAU